GAUGAACGCUGGCGGCGUGCCUAAUACAUGCAAGUCGAGCGAACAGAUGAGGAGCUUGCUCCUCUGACGUUAGCGGCGGACGGGUGAGUAACACGUGGAUAACCUACCUAUAAGACUGGGAUAACUUCGGGAAACCGGAGCUAAUACCGGAUAAUAUAUUGAACCGCAUGGUUCAAUAGUGAAAGACGGUUUUGCUGUCACUUAUAGAUGGAUCCGCGCCGCAUUAGCUAGUUGGUAAGGUAACGGCUUACCAAGGCAACGAUGCGUAGCCGACCUGAGAGGGUGAUCGGCCACACUGGAACUGAGACACGGUCCCGACUCCUACGGGAGGCAGCAGUAGGGAAUCUUCCGCAAUGGGCGAAAGCUUGACGGAGCAACGCCGCGUGAGUGAUGAAGGUCUUCGGAUCGUAAAACUCUGUUAUUAGGGAAGAACAAAUGUGUAAGUAACUAUGCACGUCUUGACGGUACCUAAUCAGAAAGCCACGGCUAACUACGUG
rnacentral:rRNA from 1 species